rnacentral:rRNA from 1 species
UUAAUGGAGAGUUUGAUCCUGGCUCAGGACGAACGCUGGCGGCGUGCCUAAUACAUGCAAGUCGAGCGGGGUUGUUUAGAAGCUUGCUUCUAAACAACCUAGCGGCGGACGGGUGAGUAACACGUAGGCAACCUGCCCACAAGACAGGGAUAACUACCGGAAACGGUAGCUAAUACCCGAUACAUCCUUUUCCUGCAUGGGAGAAGGAGGAAAGGCGGAGUAAUCUGUCACUUGUGGAUGGGCCUGCGGCGCAUUAGCUAGUUGGUGGGGUAAAGGCCUACCAAGGCGACGAUGCGUAGCCGACCUGAGAGGGUGAUCGGCCACACUGGGACUGAGACACGGCCCAGACUCCUACGGGAGGCAGCAGUAGGGAAUCUUCCGCAAUGGGCGAAAGCCUGACGGAGCAACGCCGCGUGAGUGAUGAAGGUUUUCGGAUCGUAAAGCUCUGUUGCCAGGGAAGAACGUCUUGUAGAGUAACUGCUAUAAGA